AAUUAGAAAGUGUGUCCAAACUUUUGGUCUGUACUGUAUGUAUAUGUUUUUUUGCUGGUGCACAAAAUGAGUCGUGCAUGAACGUCACCUUUGCUCAAAGAACAAAACCAUGAACUCACAGCAAGUUACAGUGUUACUUUAUUCUGGCCCCC